UCUCUUUAAAUGCCACGGGCUGCGUUCCCGCCCGGGAGCCCGGAGCCGGAUCUACAAUCCCGUCCCUCCCGCUCCGGCGCUUGUUGCUCACCCGGCCCGAGCGGGAGCUGCCGCCGCCGGGAGCGAGGCUGCCUCCUUCUCCUCGCGCCCCACCUCCCUAUAGAGCUGGCCGAGCGGGGGCAGCAGCGCCUGUAGGAGGGAGGGGGCGCGGUGUGAACAGGAAUUGCCCCCCGCCUGCAAGUCUUGGGGCGCGACGCAGCCGCGGGGAAGACAUGCUUCUCUACCCCCUGCCCAGCUUCGCUGCCGCCGGUGCCGGGAGAGCAGGGACUGCGGAGCCCACACCCGCAAACUCGUCCUAGAAGUCUCGGGGUGCGGCAGGGGGCCCCUCCCAAUUUCCCUCGGCUUCCACCUCCCUACGGGUGGCCGCAGCCCCUGUCCGGGGACCCGUGCCAAUGACCCUAGUGGUGGUUUCGCUUUCUCCCCUCGCGGCGGUGUGAACCUGUGUCCACAGCGUGAUGGGCAACCAGGUGGAGAAGCUGACCCACCUAAGUUACAAGGAAGUUCCAACGGCCGACCCGACCGGUGUGGACCGGGACGACGGUCCCCGCAUCGGUGUGUCUUAUAUCUUUUCCAAUGACGACGAGGACGUGGAGCCACAGCCACCGCCCCAAGGGCCGGAUGGCGGCGGGUUGCCCGACUGCGGGGACGGACCGCCGCCGCCCCCGCCGCAGCCUUACGACCCGCGGCUGCACGAGGUAGAGUGCUCAGUGUUCUACCGCGACGAGUGCAUCUACCAGAAGAGCUUUGCGCCGGGCUCGGCGGCGCUGAGCACCUACACACCAGAGAACCUGCUCAACAAGUGCAAUCCAGGCGACCUGGUGGAGUUUGUGUCGCAGGCGCAGUACCCGCACUGGGCAGUGUACGUGGGCAACUUCCAGGUGGUACACCUGCACCGGCUGGAGGUGAGCAACAGCUUCCUGACUGACGCCAGCCAGGGCCGCCGCGGCCGUGUGGUCAACGAUCUGUACCGCUACAAGCCUCUGAGCCCCAGUGCGGUGGUGCGCAACGCGCUGGCGCACGUGGGCGCCAAGGAGCGCGAGCUCAGCUGGCGCAACUCAGAGAGCUUUGCCGCCUGGUGCCGCUAUGGCAAGCGCGAGUUCAAGAUCGGCGGCGAGCUGCGCAUCGGCAAGCAGCCCUACCGCUUGCAAAUUCAACUCUCGGCUCAGCGCAGCCACACGCUGGAGUUCCAGAGCCUGGAGGACCUGAUCAUGGAGAAGCGGCGGAACGACCAGAUCGGACGCGCUGCGGUACUGCAGGAGCUCGCCAUGCACCUGCACCCGGCGGAACCGGACGAGGGCGACAGCGAUGCGGCGCGGACUACGCCGCCUCCCAGGCCCAUCCCUUCACCGCGCUUGGAGGGGGAAGAUGGAGAGGCAGUGGCACACUGACGGGCGAGUGGAGGGCAGCGCUGCAAAAGGGAGCUGUUUGCAGCAGCCGCUGUCCCCUUUCUCCUCCUCUUCCUCCCUCCCUCCCUCCCUCCUCUGCCACCUUCUGGGCCCCCCUGGGAUUCCUGGGCCCUUUGGAAAAUGGAGAGUUGGUGAAAUGUGCAGCCGGCUGUGGACAGGGAAGGAGGAAGGGAACAGAGGGAGCAGUUCGCUGAUGAGGUCAGAGUCCUCAGGGUCGCAUCAAUUCCCAAAGCUCCACCUCUGAACGCCGCUGCACUGGGGAUCCAGCCUUCAACAUGUGAGCCUCUUAGGGGACAUUCCAGAUUCAGACCCUAACAGUCUGUGCAGGGAAAGCAACAGAUAAGCGCUCACGUCCAGUCCAUGGUACCAGUUUAGCAAACCUGCUACCUCUGCUCACCUAGUCCCAGGGCAUCAACCACAGUGAAAAUGCGAAGGUGAUCCUCCUUGUGUCUUAGCUUUCUUGGGUUCUGGGUUGGGCUUGUUGUAACAUGAAUUGGAGAGCCUUUGGACAACAGAAAGGAGACUGGGCAGGGUUGGCCCUGAAAAUGACAAUAGGCCAAAGCCAGAUGAGAGGGGAAACCACAACUGGCUGCCAGGUAUCCAACAGUUCAAUUGAGCUCUGACGCUAACUACCCAGAACUAGUAAAGAGCCCAUUGGUCAAGGUUCAAGCCCGGAAGACGGCCCCUACUGAAGAUGAUUCCCAGCCUGCACGUACUUCUGUCUGUCCAACUGCAAACUCGUGCAGUCCCAGAAACCUUAUUCAGGUUUGAUCGUUUGCAACCGUGACUCACAGAACUCAGAAGAACUAUGUACUACUAUUUACCAUUUACUACAAAGGCUACAACUCAAAACGGCUAAGUAGAAGAGAUGCAUGGGACACGGCAUGGGGCUAGCGCAGGCUCCCAUGCCCUCUCAAUGCGCCAUCUUCCCAGCAUGAUGAUGGGUUCGCCAACCAGAAAACUCUCUGAAUCUUCUUGUCCAAGAGGUUUUAGGAUCCAUUCUCUAGCACUGCCUACCUUGCCCCCAUCAUCAAGGGGUGGGACUAAAAAUUCCUACCCUGUGACGGUGUGUUUGGUGUUUUGGUGACUAGUCCCUAUUAUGACACUGCCUAGGGGUUCCAUCCUAAAUCUAAUUAUUAAUAUAAACUAAAUUUGAUUGAAAGGGGAUUAUUAUGAAUAACAAAGUACACCCCUGUUACUCAAAUUCCAAGAGUUUUAAGAUCUUUGUGUGAGGACAAAAUCUAAAUACUUGUUUUAUCAUACCACAAUUGUCCAUGGUAAAUAGAAGAAAAGGAUUUUAACCAGGUUUCUGAUUCCUGAGUCCCUCCACAUCAUUUCCUCUGUCUCUUGCUCCUUUGACAUUACUACAACUAUCAUAUCUUCAAAGAAGAUCCAAAACUCAGAUAGCACUGGAAGUACAAUGGAGGUCAAUAGCCCCAGGGCCCACAGGUGACACCCUGUGGUUUGUGCGCCAGGCUUCAGGAUGAGGCUAGGAAAAACAAAUAAGUGAUGGCCAGUGAUACUGUGCACAAUGUUUUAAGUUGCUCAUCGCACCAUGACACCCAGUCCAGAAUAGGCAGCAACUGUGGAGACUGAAAUCCAGUGUAUGCCCUGCUUGCCAAACAGUAUAUCCUUAUGUAGGGUGACUUUGUUGCUCUGGAAAAAGGAGUUUUCCUGUAGUUUGCUCAAAGCUGCCAUUUGGGCUAGCUGUGUCCUGCGCACAUCUAAAUGAGGUUUAUGAAAGCUAUCUUAUAAUGUAAACAAACACUAUAGCCAAGUUAGGUGAAAAUUGCAAUAUGCAAAACUAUUGAACAAUAUGAAGAGAGCCUCAUCGUGGUUAUAGCUCUGAAAAAGUAUGGAGGCCCUCAAAAAACUAGAAAUAGAAUUACCAAGUGAUCCAGCAAUUCCACUACUGGGUAUAAUCCAAAGGAAAGAAAGAUGGUGUGUAGAAGAGAUGUCUCUACUUCUGUGUUUACAUCUCCCUCUUUGUUAACAGUCAAUACCUGGGAUUAAUGUAGGUGUUCAUGAACAGAUGGAUGGAAAAUAGAAAAUGUGGUCUGCUUACAUAAUGGGAUAUUAUUCAGCCAGAAUAAAAAAAAAGAAUGAAAUUCUGUUAUUUGUGGCAAUAUAGAUGAGCCUGGAGGAUAUUAUGUUAAGUGAAAUAAGUUAGACAAACACCACAUGUUCUCACCUGCAAGUGGAAGCUGAGACAGCUGAUCUCAGAAGUAGAGUGGCCAGUAGAGGUGAGGAAAGGCAGGGUGGGGGCUGGAGAAGGGAGAGCUAUAAGGGCACAGGUGAACAGGAGCAAUGGCUUCCGAUGCUCUAUAGCACAGUAUGAGAAUUAUGAUUGACAACAGUUUUAAUUGUCUAUUUCAAAAUAGGAUUAGAGGAUUUUGAAUUCUCCCAAUACAGAGAAAUGAUAAAUGCUUGAGGUGACAGAUACACCAGUUACCCUUGAUCACUAUGCAUUGUAUGCAUGUUUUGAAAUAUCACACUGUACCUCAGAAAUAGGUAUAGUUACUAUGUAUUGAUUUAAAAAGUAGAAAACCAUAUGCUUAAAAGAUCAGAGACAGACACUGACAAAAGCUACCUCAAACGUUUCAAGGUUUUGAGACUCACUCUUGCAAUAUACACAUGUUGUUGAGCCCACAGGGUUUCAUUGUCCAACUGUGUAACAGAAUUUUAAAAUUAACUUCCUUGUAGAAGAUAAUAUUAAUUAACAUUAAAAAUGAACAAUUAUACAAAAAAAAGAUCUAAAUUGAGAUAUUAGUUCCUUCCCUCUUAUUUCCUUCUUUCCAAAAUUUUUAGUAAUCUAGUUGCAUUGCAUUUAUAAUGAAAAUACAUAUUUAAAAACAAAAUAAUGUAAAUCGGAUUGAUGUAUUUAACUUUCUCGACAAAUGAAAGUAUGUGUUGUGUAUAAUGCAAAUUUUAAACCCAGUCUAAGUGGACAGAGUCCAGAUCACUGAAUAAUCCCAAAUAAGAACAGCAAGACAUAUGACAGCCAGAAAUGUCAAGGAUUAAGAGACUGCUUUAUGUGCAAAAAAAAAAAAGAGGUACACAUUCUUUUUUCUACCACCACUAACCAAUUUCCUUCCUCUAUUCAACAUGUGUUCCAACAAUUGAAGGUUUAUUUGUCACAAUCAGGGACUCUUUGAAUAUGAAAGUGCUUCCUGGAUGAGGAUGAAGCCUUGCAGACACCAUACUGUGUGUAAGCUCAAUUAGAUCCACAUCUAAGUGAGAGUCCCCACAUGCAGCUUUCUGCUAUCAGAAUCUUCUCAGAUUGAGAAGCCUGGGGGCAGUUAUGCACACUUCCCUAUUACCAGUCUUCUCUUGGUCUACUGUUGCUGUAGAGGACUUGCUUUAGAGAGAUUUAGAGUUGAAGCAAUGAACUUCAAAAGAAGCACUCUACCAAUAAUGACAAAGACAAUGGGGACGCUAAUGGAGAUGCUGGUGAGAGUUAGCACUUGCCAAAUGUUCGGAUCACCUGGCACAUGCCCAGUGCCUGCCGUGCUCAGCGCAAGUGUCUCCAUUUCAUCCACACAGCAUUCUUACAGUGCAGACACCCUUUCCUCUCCCACCUGACAGGUGAGUAGACUACCAAAGUUCCCAACUGGUCCAAAGUCAAGUGCUGUGGCUGGGAUUUCCACCCAGGUGGAAGACUUGGACUUUCACCCAGGACAUUGGA